AUAUAUGUGAUUACUUUAUAUGUUUAUUAAUUUCUGUAUGUGGAUUGAGUAAAUUACAUUAUUUAAAAAAAAAAUUUGUUUUUUUUAUAGACUAUUUAUGUUAUUUAUAAUAUAUUUUUAUUUAAAUAACAAAUUCAAUUCUUUCAGUAAUAAAAAAUUCAUACAUAAAAAUUAAAUUCAAUAUAUAAUUUAAAUAAAAUUAAAUAUAUACGUACUAAAUCAAUCAUUCAUCUUUUGUUUGAUAAUUUAAUUAUAUUUAAUUUAAUUUAAUAUAAUUAUAUUUUAAACUAUUUAUAUUAUUUAUAAUAUCUAUCUAUAUCUCAACUUUUUAA
rnacentral:snoRNA from 1 species